rnacentral:rRNA from 2 species
CGCGGCCUAUCAGCUUGUUGGUGAGGUAAUGGCUCACCAAGGCGACGACGGGUAGCCGGCCUGAGAGGGCGACCGGCCACACUGGGACUGAGACACGGCCCAGACUCCUACGGGAGGCAGCAGUGGGGAAUAUUGGGCAAUGGAGGAAACUCUGACCCAGCGACGCCGCGUGCGGGAUGAAGGCCUUCGGGUUGUAAACCGCUUUCAGCAGGGAAGAAGCGAAAGUGACGGUACCUGCAGAAGAAGCACCGGCUAACUAUGUGCCAGCAGCCGCGGUAAUACAUAGGGUGCAAGCGUUGUCCGGAAUUAUUGGGCGUAAAGAGCUCGUAGGUGGUUCGUCACGUCGGAUGUGAAACUCUGGGGCUUAACCCCAGACCUGCAUUCGAUACGGGCGAGCUUGAGUAUGGUAGGGGAGUCUGGAAUUCCUGGUGUAGCGGUGGAAUGCGCAGAUAUCAGGAGGAACACCAAUGGCGAAGGCAGGACUCUGGGCCAUUACUGACACUGAGGAGCGAAAGCGUGGGGAGCGAACAGGAUUAGAUACCCUGGUAGUCCACGCCGUAAACGGUGGGCACUAGUUGUGGGGACCUUCCACGGUCUCUGCGACGCAGCUAACGCAUUAAGUGCCCCGCCUGGGGAGUACGG